rnacentral:lncRNA from 1 species
UCAUCUGUAAUUGUCCGAAAAACGUCAUUUUGACCGUUAAAUUAGCAUGCAACUCUCAAAUGAUAUCUCCUAAUAGAGUAAAAUUGUCCAAUGUAAUGUGUAUGUGAUGAAUAAUCAUGUGUUUUGAUCCAAAGAAAUAAAGCUGUAUUUUAAAAAAUUAGCGUGGUUAACAAUUGUACAGAAAGAAAAAUGUGUUUUGGAUAUUUUUAUCGUUUUACGAGACAUUAUUAACUGUCGC